GUGGUUAAAAACCAAUUGCCGAAGACAGUAGGUUUUGCAUAUGAUUCAUAUGUGAAGUAAGCAUUAACAUCGCCUACCGAGGGAGUUAUUUAUAUAUGACUAUUAGUGCCUCUCUGUUUUCGCAGGGAGUUUUUUUAUGAAUAA
rfam:Eubacterium sp. CAG:161 genomic scaffold, scf115